AAUGAACGCUGGCGGCAGGCCUAACACAUGCAAGUCGAGCGGAAACGAUCCUAGUUUGCUAGGAGGCGUCGAGCGGCGGACGGGUGAGUAACGCGUGAGAAUCUACCCAUGAGUGGGGGACAACCCGGGGAAACUCGGGCUAAUACCGCAUACGCCCUACGGGGUAAAGCAGGGGACCUUCGGGCCUUGCGCUGAUGGAUGAGCUCGCGUCGGAUUAGCUUGUUGGUGAGGUAAAGGCUCACCAAGGCGACGAUCCGUAGCUGGUCUGAGAGGAUGAUCAGCCACACCGGGACUGAGACACGGCCCGGACUCCUACGGGAGGCAGCAGUGGGGAAUCUUGGACAAUGGGGGCAACCCUGAUCCAGCCAUGCCGCGUGUGUGAAGAAGGCCUUCGGGUUGUAAAGCACUUUCAGCAGGGAGGAAGGCUUACCCCUAAUACGGGUGAGUACUUGACGUUACCUGCAGAAGAAGCACCGGCUAAUUUCGUG
rnacentral:rRNA from 1 species